UUAGCACAAAGUGAGGACUGCAACACUUGGGUUUGUUCACCAAGUCCAGAGCAAGGCGCCAGAAAUUCUUGGCUUCCUCUAAACAGCUGCACAGAAGCAGCGGCCAAACCCAUCUUGUGUUUGAUGAGUCAUCCCGCGUCAGCCCUGUGCUGCUCAGGCCUCUACGGGUGCUUCCUCAGCAGCUGCAUCUGGCUCAGGCUUUUUCCAGAAGACAAGGUAGCCAAGUACUCAAGCUCAGGCGUUGAUGGGCACUCUCUGACUCCAGGAUACCGCUUGAUGCGUGGGGGCCUUCCUGGUGGCCCAGAUGAUAAAGAAUCUGCCUGUAAUACAAGAGACCUGGGUUUAAUCUCCUGGAGAAGGGAAUGGUUACCCACUCCAGUAUUCUUGUCUGGAGAAUUCCAUGGACAGAGGAGGAUGGCAGGCUACAGUCCAUGGGGUCACAAAGAGUCAGACACAGCUGAGCGACUUUAACUUCACACUUGAUUCAUGGAUUUCCUUCUACAUAAAUGGGCUCAUAUUAUACAUUUUACAGAAGCUACUUUCUUCACCCAAUACUGUAUUUUGAGGACACUUUUUUAUAUCAAGGUAUGUAAAUGUUUAACAUCAUUUUUACUAGCC
rnacentral:lncRNA from 1 species